CGGAUUUAGGGAUAAGAGGCGCGGAGACGCCGGAGGAAGAGCGAGGCGGUGGAGGAGCACGACGGGAGGAAGAAAGGGAUUUGAAUUGGAUGCGGCGAUUCUCGAGGUAUUGAUAGAAAGCGGAGAAGACGAAGCAAGCGAUUAAAGUGAGGAUGUAACUAAGCCAUGAGUCAGUUUUCCAGAAAUCGAAGAGAAUUGUGGCUUUGAUUCCCCAGUAGAAGGUCAUGUGCAUCAUCUUUGCGAGCUUGAUUUGAGCUGCUUUGAUU